rnacentral:rRNA from 1 species
CCUACGGGUGGCUGCAGUGGAGAAUAUUGGGCAAUGGACGAGAGUCUGAACCAGCCAAGUAGCGUGAAGGAUGACUGCCCUAUGGGUUGUAAACUUCUUUUAUAAAGGAAUAAAACGAGGCACGUGGGCCUGUUUGCAUGUACUUUAUGAAUAAGGAUCGGCUAACUCCGUGCCAGCAGCCGCGGUAAUACGGAGGAUCCGAGCGUUAUCCGGAUUUAUUGGGGUGAAAGGGAGCGUAGAUGGGUUGUUAAGUCCGUUGUGAAAGUUUGCGGCUCAACCGUAAAAUUGCAAUUGAUACGGGCAGUCUUGAGUACAGUUGAGGUAGGCGGACUUCGUGGUGUAUCGGU